ensembl:lncRNA
AGGAAGAUGUCACGUAGGCAGAGGAAGGGAAAACAACACGCAGCCGACCUCUCUGAGGAACUCUCUGUGCGGCGGGGCUUUGGGUCAUCGCCAGUCUUGACAUCAUCCGGCACUGGGACCCAGAUGUACGGAUCUCUAGUGAUGCUUUUCAGAGCGAGCGUCCAGAGGAUCCACCUGGAGAUCACUGCAAAGGUUUACCGCUUCACUUUGGCUCGGACAAUCAAGCUUUGGCAGUCAGCAGGCUGCCAAAGCCCAGGGCUUGAGGUGAGAAUCCAGCAGCACAGACUUGAGGGGUUUUUGCUUCCUUAAAUAAACAAUUGAACAGGCAGCAUGAUGCAGCUCUGCAGCGUGUUGUGCCUCACAAAGACAGGAUUCAUUUCAGUCAGAUACAGAUGAACUGAGCAAAACAAAACAAGACAUUAUCCAGAUCAAAC